AGCAUAGCGAUUUGGGAUAAGUCCCUUGGAAGAGGGCAGCAUGGAGGGUGAUACUCCCGUCUCUGCUCAGGUUGUCUGUGUGUACGAUACGCUUUCUUUGAGUCGAGUUGUUUGGGAAUACAGCUCAAAGUAGGUGGUAAAUUCCAUCUAAAGCUAAAUAUUGGUGCGAGACCGAUAGCGAACAAGUACCGUGAGGGAAAGAUGAAAAGAACUUUGAAAAGAGAGUUAAAGAGUACCUGAAACUGUUGAAAGGGAACCGUAUCGUUUCUAGUGUUUAUCCUAUGCAUAUUUCAUUGGCGGUUGCAAAAUUGCUGGUGCCCUGUGCAUGGGUGUGACGUCAGAGUCAGUUUAAAUUGCGGGAGAUGGGUAGGGAGGAGGUGCGUCGCUUCGGUGAAAGUUACAGCUCCCUGCUUAGUAGCCGUGGUUGAGACUGAGGUGCC
rnacentral:rRNA from 2 species